rnacentral:rRNA from 1 species
UACGAAGGGGGCUAGCGUUGCUCGGAAUCACUGGGCGUAAAGCGCACGUAGGCGGAUUGUUAAGUCAGGGGUGAAAUCCUGGAGCUCAACUCCAGAACUGCCUUUGAUACUGGCGAUCUCGAGUCCGGGAGAGGUGAGUGGAACUGCGAGUGUAGAGGUGAAAUUCGUAGAUAUUCGCAAGGACACCAGUGGCGAAGGCGGCUCACUGGCCCGGUACUGACGCUGAGGUGCGAAAGCGUGGGGAGCAAACAGG